CUUAUCUUAAAUUGUGCCACAAUGUUUUUUUUGGCUUUAGUCAUUUGGCACAGCACUUUUGAAAAUUUAAAUUUAGCCCCCGCCUCCUUAUCUUCCAAUCAGAAAUUCUCCACCGACUCCAUUACACGGACUCCAAUACUUUUGCCCUCAACUCCAUUUUCCCUCUUAAUUCUCAUUCCCACCUCCAUCAACAGACCACCGCCGACCUUGCCUUCCGAUGGCGUUCUUAGGUCUGGUUUCCACCGCUUCGCUCGCCUCUCCACUAGAUUUCCGGCUUUCCCUUCUCCGCUGCUCUGUGAACAUACUCUCGCUCCCUCUCUAACCUUAAAUCCAUAGAGCAGCCACCACCAUCCUCUACCAUCGCCUCCUUGUGCUAAUACUACCGUACUCCAAACCCAGCGCCUUAAGGAAUCUCUCAAUGACAACAACAGAAACACGGAGAUUGGAAUGGGAGAAAGAGAAAGAGAAAGAGGAAGCUGGAAUUCGACUUUAGGUGACCGCAAUUACUUCGUCUUCUUCUUAAUUUUUUCUAAACCGAUUUGUUGUUCAAGUAUGGAAUAUUUGGGAAAUUUGAUGUUUUUUCUGGAUCUUCAAUUACUAUGUCUUUGUUGUUGAUACCAUGUUAUAGAAAUAAAAUACCUUUCCCCACAAGACAACCAAUUACGGUAAAUUGUAGAUUGAGGUCAACCAAAGAUGAAUAUACACAUGUUUUGCAGCCGGAGGCCAGGGCUGUUGCUUUCUCUGACAAAAACUCCUAAUAAUAUCAGUUCAAACAUUCAGCAGUUUAAUUAAGCUUGGACUUCCUAUUAAGACAACUAUUAUUGCCAAUGAUCUUCAAGAUGCUUUGAGUGGAAAUGUUACAAUCAAACCCUUGCCAUUAGGAUCAUCAGGAAAGGUAUAGCAAACAAUCAAUUAAAUUGUGACGAAAGACAUUAGAUCAAUUGACGAAAGACAUUGUCACAGUUGUUUGUUUGAUGCUUACUCAGUAUAUGGAACAUAAAACCAGUGUUGGUUCCAAACAAGGUAGUUUUAAGCUAAUCAUUGACUACUUUGCCUAAUUAUGCGACCCAUAUAAGUUCUAAUUUACAUGAAAUCAAACUCCUCUGCCAUAUGGAUCAUGAGAAUAUUCUCAAGAAAGAUAACUUCAUAAGGCCACCAUAGAAAGAGAAGUUGAUGACGUGUAUAUUGUGUAUGACUUGAUGGCCACUGAUCUGCAUAAAAUUAUUCGUUCUUCUCUGAUAUUUCAAUCUAAAACAAUGAUGGCUAAUUAAUUGCCACUGUUGUUGGUUGUACUUUUAAGAAAAUAAAUUUCACAAUAACACCCACGGACAAAAUGCUUUACAAUGGUAGUUGUCCAAGAAGAAUGGAAUCAACAAAGGAAUGAAAUUGUUCAUUCCGUUGCUAGAUGGAGUGGAAUGGACCAUUCUCUUCUUCGUAUUUUGUUAAAUUUUCAUUGUUUACUGAGUAAAUGUUUUCCUUUUUCUUUUCAAUUCUAUCAUGGAAUGUAAUGGAUAAUUGCAACGUAAACAAAUUCUAUUUAUAUAACUUUUAAUACCAUUUUCAAAAAAUUAAUUCCAGCUUUCUUUUUCCAAACAUUA